UGGAGAUCUUCUGGUGGAUGCCAGCUGCAGUUUAGUGGAGAGAUUUUUCAAAUAUGUACCCAGCAAGGAGAAAGAAACCAGAUCAGUUACUUGAACCGGGAAGCUUUAAUAUAAAGGCUUGUUUACUAGAAGAAGAUAACUUAGAUAACUACUAACAGGAAGCAGAGGGUUCAGAAGCAGCCUGUGCAGUAAGAAAAAGCUUCCUGUUCUAGGCAGAAGAGAAAAACAAGGAAUUUAGGUCAUAUGACCUCUUCCAAGAGGACGUGGCCUCUAGAACAUGCUGCCUGCCAGCAGGAGAAAAAGACUGGAGAACUCAGGCUGGCCCAGCCUCGAGAAGCAGCCCUCUGUUGUUGGAAGGACCCUGCAUGUUGCUCCUCACUAUGGCAGCUCCAAAGGGAACCUCAGAGGAAGAAACAGCUCCUCCCUCCACUCUCUGUGAUAGACCUGGCCGCCAGGAUGCCAGCCGCUGGGCUGUUAUGCCCCUCCGUCAUGCUGUCUCAUCUUGGAACCUGCUGACUGUGGACCAGAACCGUGAGCCACAAUAAACAGCGCAAGUUUCUUUGA